GACGAACGCUGGCGGCGUGCCUAAUACAUGCAAGUCGAGCGGACCACUUCGGUGGUCAGCGGCGGACGGGUGAGUAACACGUGGGCAACCUGCCUGUAAGACUGGGAUAACACCGGGAAACCGGUGCUAGUACCGGAUAAUCCUUUCCUUCACAUGAAGGAAAGCUGAAAGACGGUUUCGGCUGUCACUUACAGAUGGGCCCGCGGCGCAUUAGCUAGUUGGUGAGGUAACGGCUCACCAAGGCAACGAUGGGUAGCCGACCUGAGAGGGUGGGCGGCCACACUGGGACUGAGACACAGCCCAGACUCCUACGGGAGGCAGGAGUAGGGAAUCUUCCGCAAUGGACGAAAGUGUGACGGAGCAACGCCGCGUGAGCGAUGAAGGCCUUCGGGUCGUAAAGCUCUGUUGUCAGGGAAGAACAAGUACUGGAGUAACUGCCGGUACCUUGACGGUACCUGACCAGAAAGCCACGGCUAACUACGUGCCAGCAGCCGCAGUAAAAC
rnacentral:rRNA from 1 species